AGAAGAAAGCAGCUGGAAGAGCGUCAUUGCGCCACUGCGUUCUGAGGACGUCUUUAAAACAGACAUUGCUAUUCUGUGAGAUCUUCAUUCACAACCUUCUUCACAGACAGUGCUGCCCUGUGCAUUCUUCUUCACAAGCCUCGCUCCUCUCUGCAUCUUCAUAGUUGCCUGAGAGGGCACAGGGCAUUGAUUUAAGCUGGCCAGCUUACUUGGCUGCCUGCAGGCUACAUCCUGUACAGUUGGUCAGCUUCCUUUGUGAGUUGGUAACCAGGUGCUGAAGGAACCGAAUGGCUCCCUCUCUCCUUUGGUAUCCUGUUCUGUUCUUUAUCUCCUCUGUCUGCUUGCACCUGCAAGCUUUCUAAAAACGCCCUUCUUGUCCAAAAUGAUGAACCCUUGCCAUUGUCCAAAUUGAAGAACCUAUACUUGCAUAAACACCAAAUCCUGUGGGAUUCUAACCAGAUCUGUUGUACCCUGUAUACUGUUUUCCUGUGAUUUGUUUCAGGUCAGACGAUUAUUUAAAGAAGCAGUUUUUCCAGUUGAAGGCCAUCACUACAGGGGCCCCAGACCAUUUGCAGCUGAAGACACACAUUCACAUCAUUCACUGAAGCUGUAGUUACUGGUCAUAUCUCAUAGCCGUACAUUGCAAGAGCAAAACAAACAGCAGCUUCAAGUGUGUAUAUUUAUACAUGAACAUUUACUGUUGAAGGAUUUUAGGCUUGUGCAUUUAUUUAAUUCAUUUUGUCAUUUUAUAGUUUAUUCAUAGUUUAAGCCAGCUUAAAGCUCUUGAGAAGGUGAAGAAUCGUAAUACUUGGGAUUCAGUCAUUUAAUUUUUGAAUCAUAUGAAUGUUUAACGCUUCUGUUUAAUUGAAUAAUACAGUGUGUACAUUGUUUCUGCUUCUGAACAUUUCUAAGCAUAUUAAGUUUAAAUUAAAAAUGAAAGUUUAUUAGAA